rnacentral:rRNA from 1 species
AACGAACGCUGGCGGCAUGCCUAACACAUGCAAGUCGAACGAGACCUUCGGGUCUAGUGGCGCACGGGUGCGUAACGCGUGGGAACCUGCCCUUAGGUUCGGAAUAACUCCCCGAAAGGGGUGCUAAUACCGAAUAAUGUCUUCGGACCAAAGAUUUAUCGCCUUUGGAUGGGCCCGCGUUGGAUUAGCUAGUUGGUAGGGUAAAAGCCUACCAAGGCGACGAUCCAUAGCUGGUCUGAGAGGAUGAUCAGCCACACUGGGACUGAGACACGGCCCAGACUCCUACGGGAGGCAGCAGUGGGGAAUAUUGGACAAUGGGCGAAAGCCUGAUCCAGCAAUGCCGCGUGAGUGAUGAAGGCCUUAGGGUUGUAAAGCUCUUUUACCCGGGAUGAUAAUGACAGUACCGGGAGAAUAAGCUCCGGCUAACUCCGUG